rnacentral:misc_RNA from 1 species
AAGUCGUAACAAGGUUUCCGUAGGUGAACCUGCGGAAGGAUCAUUAACUAUAACUAUAUAAUACUUGUGAAUAGCAUAUCUUUGGAUAUGAUAUAUAAACAAUGAGCUAGUAAAUAUCUAAUUGAUAAUUUUUAACAAUGGAUCUCUAGGCUCUU